rnacentral:rRNA from 1 species
CCUACGGGAGGCAGCAGUGAGGAAUAUUGGUCAAUGGGCGAGAGCCUGAACCAGCCAAGUCGCGUGAGGGAGUACUGCCCUAUGGGUUGUAAACCUCUUUUGUCGGGGAGCAAAAGCCGGACGUGUCCGGCUGUGAGAGUACCCGAAGAAAAAGCAUCGGCUAACUCCGUUCCAGCAGCCGCGGUAAUACGGAGGAUGCGAGCGUUUUCCGGAUUUAUUUGGUUUAAAGGGUGCGCAGGAGGAUUUUUAAGUCAGCGGUCAAAUCGUGGGGCUAAACCCCAUCCAGCAGUUGAGACUGGGGAUCAAGAGGGGGCGAGAGGUAUGCGGAAUGCGAGGUGGAGCGGUGAAAUGCAGAGAUAUCACGCAGAACCCCGAUUGCGAAGGCAGCAUACCGGUGCAAAACUGACGCUCAGGCACGAAAGCGUGGGUAUCGAACAGGAUUAGAUACCCUGGUAGUG